GGAAAUGCUUGCGUUUGUGGUGCGCGCACUUCGUUGACAUCGCAGGGGUCGCAAGUUCAAUCCUUGCCACGCCCACCA
rnacentral:tRNA from 1 species